CUCAAAACAUUUUUACUGCAUUGAAAUAAUCUCCAAGCAUUUUCUUCAGUCUGAUUGAAACAACUACGAGGAAUAUAUGUUAUGCAUAAAUGCAACAGUCGCUACUUCUGGCGUCGAAAUGCGAGUCUUUCGUUUUAAGCUUCUGAAAUAAAAGCAAGAUAUUCUAACCAUAAUGGUAUCAUCAAAUAAUAAUAAAAUAGUAUAAUACUUUAACAUAUACUUGAGAUCACCACCACGACAGCGGAGUUUAAACAUAGCGAGCAGAAAAAUGUCGAAUCGAAGAGUACGAGUAACAAUAAUGUAUUUGAGAAAAUUGUUUGAAAACUCAUUACUAAGAAUUUAAACUUUAAAAGUCGUAAAUCGUACAUCUAUUGUUUGAAGUGAUAAGAUGACCAUGUAAAAUACCGCUCUAUAGCUCCAACAGCUUAUACAAAAUUAGAUAAGUAGGCCCAACCUCUGAUAUUACCUUAGAUUCUUUCAAUUAUUUCCUGCUCACUGGAAUGCCACCAAUGGUUCUAUUUAAUUAAUGAACAGCUGUCCCGAAUUAUUGUUCGAGGGAAACGAGAAUUUGUGCAGCAACCAAUUGAGGAAUUUAAUGAAUGACCAUAACGAAUCAAUUUUCAAGAAUCUGGCUUAACAUGUUGGCGUAGUUGACUACAACGAUAUAUUACAUACUGAAGUACCAACAUUAUAGCAGAGGUAGUAAUAUCAAAGGCACCUACCAAUUAAAGCAUAAGCUUUUAUACUUCAUAAUAUCGAAUAUAAAUAUUUACAAGUAUGUAUGGAAUAUUGUAUAUAGAAAUUGAGAGGAUCGUAUAGAGUCGGUUGUCCAAGAUUUAGAUAUAUAUUUUCAACUGCUGUUGGGAAAAUCGCUAUACUUUAUUUAUAUCUCAGAUACCACUUAACUAAGUAGUAUUAACUACUUGUGCCUACUUAAAAUAUUUUCAGUAAAUUCUAGGCUGUAGAAAAAUGCAAGCAAUGUCUCCGGAGGAAGCCACAUCAAAUCGAUCUAGAUGUGAAGAAUGCCUUCAACCCAGCAAAUGAGGCAAAUAUAAUUAACGUUCUACAACUAAUACUUGACAAUAUUAAACGAGUCGCACGUUCGAUUAAUGGACCCAAAAUGAGUUGGCCACCGAUCACGACUUUCACAAGAAAUUUGUUCAGCGAUAAAAUUUAUUUUUAAACCUUUGGUACCCCAUCCCAAACCCAAGAAAAUAUUUUGUAUGGAGCUAUUUUAGUAUGUAUUUACUGUUUUGGAACAAAAGAAAUUAUUUCGAGAGUUUCAAACUCACAAUUCAAAAAUUCAAUAGCAGACAGACUAAACAAAGAUUGCAACUUAAAAUGUUUUGAAACUACAAUAAAUGUGAAAAUACAGAGA